CCUACGGGAGGCAGCAGUGAGGAAUAUUGGUCAAUGGACGAGAGUCUGAACCAGCCAAGUAGCGUGAGGGAUGACUGCCCUAUGGGUUGUAAACUUCUUUUAUAUGGGAAUAAAACGUUCCACGUGUGGGAUUUUGUAUGUACCAUAUGAAUAAGGAUCGGCUAACUCCGUGCCAGCAGCCGCGGUAAUACGGAGGAUCCGAGCGUUAUCCGGAUUUAUUGGGUUUAAAGGGAGCGUAGGUGGAUUGUUAAGUCAGUUGUGAAAGUUUGCGGCUCAACCGUAAAAUUGCAGUUGAAACUGGCAGUCUUGAGUACAGUAGAGGUGGGCGGAAUUCGUGGAGUAGCGGUGAAAUGCUUAGAUAUCACGAAGAACUCCGAUUGCGAAGGCAGUUCACUGGACUGCAACUGACACUGAGGCUCGAAAGUGUGGGUAUCAAACAGGAUUAGAUACCCGAGUAGUC
rnacentral:rRNA from 1 species